CGUUGAUACGUCGUAACCAACACGACUCUCGGCAACGGAUAUCUCGGCUCUCGCAUCGAUGAAGAACGUAGCGAAAUGCGAUACCUGGUGUGAAUUGCAGAAUCCCGCGAACCAUCGAGUCUUUGAACGCAAGUUGCGCCCGAGGCCAUCCGGCCGAGGGCACGC
rnacentral:rRNA from 1 species